UGUUCUGUCACGCCUUCCCUCUACCCUAAUGCCGACCGCCCCUUGAUCAUCUUCCCGAGCCAAGCCCUAGAGUCAAGCUAAUUUCGUCGGAGGAAACCUCCGCAGCUUGAGGUGGGUUCUCUCAUCAAGGUAGGUUGAGGUAUGAAUCGAUUGGUGGCUCUAUCUCUAGUUCCAGCAGCAGCUCCAUUGAUCACACUUUUCCAGCGGUUAGGUCUUCGGCUGUGAGAUAACAGGGGAGCAGUAUAUGAAGGGUAUUGGAUUUGGAAAUCAACAACUCCAUCUUGUUCCGGCCGUGAUCUUCGGUAGCGAGCACUUCUCCUGUUGUGAAUUAACAGUGAGGUCUCCUAUUCGGGACUUGGAUUUGGGACAAGCGUCUCGACAUGGGAACACUGGACACAGUCUACGUAUGGAGGCGGGU